UGCAACAUCUUGACAUAUGCCCUGUAAGGUCUGCAAUAUUGAUCAAGACUAUACAAGCCCCAAAACCCCAAAAUGCGACUGCCGCCUUUUUUAAACGGCUACACAGCUGGCAUCUCUCUGGGCUACACUAGCACUGUGUGUGUGUGCACAUGUAAUCAAUGCAUGCAGUGUGUGCGUGUACCCAGCCAGGCCAUGCCUUAUGACACACACACAAGACAGCAGGACAGCCAUUCCUAUCCUCAACAGCUACAGGAGCCAGAGCAGAGAGACGAAAUCUUUUUAUUACUUUGUUUUCCCCUGCUAUUCUUCAAUAUGGACUCUAGGCAUCUUUUGACAUCUUUUGCCAAACAGUGGAUUCAAAGCAUAUUGUGGACACAGUAGGCCUAUAUUGACGUGAGACCAUGCAGAAAAUGCUACUUUCUCUCGACCUCCUGGAUCAGCAUUCAGCAGCCUCGUGACACAGUUGAAGCCAUUAUCGAAUUCUUUGCGUGUAUGUACCCUGGAUCAAGCAGCACUUGCAUUAUACAGGAGAUUCCACCCAAAAUCUAAACCAUGAGUCCAAGCUGAAGAGGAAUAUUUCCAAAAUGAGGUCUACACACACACACAGAGGUUACUUUCCCCUUCAUUAUAGAGAUAUCGAGAGAGAGAGAGAGAUGGGUGGGGGGG